CUUGAAUUUAACUUAAUUUUGAUUUUUAUCAAUCAACAUAGAGAUUUGAUUCUCCUUCUGACCAUUGCACAAUUAAUUGGAAAAAUUAGUUGCACGCUUAGAGUUCUUCUGUCCCACUAUUAUUAUUUAAUUAUUUUGAAACCAAAGCACAUGUGGAAGUAGAUUAAAGCAGUCCUAGGGUUAAGUCAGACUGAUGACACUUUAGCCAGCAUCUCUACUCAGUAGCUAUUAAAGCUCUUUGGCCUCAAAAAUUAUUACUCUGAUACAGUUUCAUCUCAAAUGGAAAAGUAAUGUACUGAAUGGUAAACAAUGGAGUUGAUAUAGGCUGUCUCAGAACUGAACUGAAAAUCACCUAAUCAAUCACAAAUUUUGGCUGUCAUAACGACUGAAUUACCUGGGUGAACUACAGUGUGAUGAAAAAGAACCUAGUUAUAUGGACUGUCUGACCUCUGUGUCAUCAAUUGUACAACAAUCUGAUUGAUUACUCUGUGACUGGCCUAAACUAUCUGGAAAAUGAUCAAUAUGCUGUCAUGUUUAAUCCUGUCCAUAUUAUAAUGCAGGCUAUUGCUAAGACUGCAUUAUAUUCAAUUCUCCGUCACUGGUGAGCAAGGUCACCGUAAUUGGUGAUACAUGAAGCCUUUUCUCAUCAUGUGGAUAGGGGAAUUCAGAUUUGAACCGUGCCUUAAAAGAUGAAUCAUUUAAUUUAAUCAGAGUAUUUGCAGUUAAGUGGUAGUACUUCUCUCAAGUAGCACUUGAAAAACCUGGUCUUAUCCUUUCAGCAUCUCCCUUGCUGACUUUUAUCAUGAUUUUGAAAAUAUCAGAUGUUUUGUCACCUGCAUCCUCAGCAAGCAGAGUAAAUCUCGUCACUUAUGCAGAAUGGUGAAGAUUAUGAAAAGUAGCAGGUGUUGGGGAGGAGAAAGCAUCUCAUUGACAUACCUGCUGUAUUUAUUAAGGAAAGGUAAGUUAUUAAAAUACAUGUAGCUGUGUUUGAAGUGAGAUACAAAGUGCUGAGAGCUAAUUUUUCAAAGCACCCACCGUUUUUACCCGUGUGACUCUAAAUCCACAGGUAUGUAACUGCUCAAGUGCAGCUAAUUGUGCCUAUAUUUGGUACUACAGCAAGG
rnacentral:lncRNA from 1 species